rnacentral:rRNA from 1 species
UACGUAGGGGCCUAGCGUUGUCCGGAUUUAUUGGGCGUAAAGAGCGCGCAGGCGGUCGAUCAAGUCGCGUGUGAAAGCCCCCGGCUCAACUGGGGAGGGUCACGCGAUACUGAUCGACUCGAAGGCAGGAGAGGGUAGAGGAAUUCCCGGUGUAGUGGUGAAAUGCGUAGAUAUCGGGAGGAACACCAGUGGCGAAGGCGACUACCUGGCCUGUUCUUGACGCUGAGGCGCGAAAGCUAGGGGAGCAAACGGG